rnacentral:rRNA from 1 species
GUAGUCAUAUGCUUGUCUCAAAGAUUAAGCCAUGCAUGUCUAAGUAUAAGCACUCAUACUGUGAAACUGCGAAUGGCUCAUUAAAUCAGUUAUCGUUUAUUUGAUAGUACCUUUACCUGGAUAACCGUGGUAAUUCUAGAGCUAAUACAUGCUAAAAAUCCCGACUUCGGAAGGGAUGUAUUUAUUAGAUAAAAACCAAUGCCCUUCGGGGCUCCUUGGUGAUUCAUAAUAACUCAACGAGUCGCAUGGCCUUGCGCCGGCGAUGGUUCAUUCAAAUUUCUGCCCUAUCAACUUUCGAUGGUAGGAUAGUGGCCUACCAUGGUCUCAACGGGUAACGGGGAAU